CCCCAGCGCCACAAGUGGUUAUCACGAUUAUUGGGCGUAAAGCGCGUGUAGGCGGCCGUGCAAGUCGGGUGUGAAAGCCCUCAGCUCAACUGAGGAAGUGCGCCCGAAACUGCAUGGCUUGAGUACCGGAGAGGAUGGCGGAAUUCCCGAAGUAGAGGUGAAAUUCGUAGAUAUCGGGAGGAACACCGGUGGCGAAGGCGGCCAUCUGGACGGAUACUGACGCUGAGACGCGAAAGCGUGGGUAGCAAACAGG
rnacentral:rRNA from 1 species